rnacentral:rRNA from 1 species
AUUGAACGCUGGCGGCAUGCCUUACACAUGCAAGUCGAACGGCAGCACGGGAGCAAUCCUGGUGGCGAGUGGCGAACGGGUGAGUAAUAUAUCGGAACGUGCCCAGUCGUGGGGAUAACGUAGCGAAAGCUACGCUAAUACCGCAUACGAUCUAUGGAUGAGAGCGGGGGAUCGCAAGACCUCGCGCGAUUGGAGCGGCCGAUAUCAGAUUAGGUAGUUGGUGAGGUAAAGGCUCACCAAGCCGACGAUCUGUAGCUGGUCUGAGAGGACGACCAGCCACACUGGGACUGAGACACGGCCCAGACUCCUACGGGAGGCAGCAGUGGGGAAUUUUUGGACAAUGGACGCAAGCCUGAUCCAGCAAUGCCGCGUGCAGGAUGAAGGCCUGG